rnacentral:rRNA from 1 species
UACGAAGGGGGCUAGCGUUGCUCGGAAUUACUGGGCGUAAAGAGCGUGUAGGCGGCCAGGUAGGUCGGUUGUGAAAACUGGAGGCUCAACCUUCAGACGUCGACCGAAACCAUCUGGCUAGAGUCCGGGAGAGGAGAGUGGAAUUCCUGGUGUAGCGGUGAAAUGCGCAGAUAUCAGGAAGAACACCCGUGGCGAAAGCGGCUCUCUGGAACGGUACUGACGCUGAGACGCGAAAGCGUGGGGAGCGAACAGG